CAAUUUCCUUCUAUGUGGAAGAAAGCAUGUAUUUGCCCAGUGUUUAAGAAGGGUAUUGUUAAUGAGAUUAAAAACUACAGGAGGCCUAUUUCUUUAUUGUCUAACUGCGCAAACAUUUUUGAGUCAGUUUUAUUUAUAUAAAUGUAUUUAUUGUUCAAUUAGUUCGUACUUAUCACCUUUACAACAUGGGCAUGGGUUUGUUAAGAAAAGAUCUCCAAUACACCAAUCAGGCUUGUUUCACUCAAUAUGUCUUCGAAGCAAUAGAUAACAGAAGUCAGGUGGACGUAAUUUACACCGAUUUUCAGAAGGCUUUCGAUACUGUAAGGAUGAAUUUAAUGAAUUUCGCGCGCACAAGAAACGGUUGGUAAGAAGAAGAAGAGGUUGGCAACCAACCACACCAAGAGAGAGACAUGCGCAAAUGUGGGGGUGGUUUUGUUUCUUGUGAAAUGAUUCACUUCCUUUUGACCACUUCGAGCAAACAGACAGCUUCCUUUUGACCGCUUCGAGAAGACACACCACUUCCUUACGAGCGCUUGGAGCAACAGGUCGUAUUUUUAACUGUGAGUUAUUCAGUGCCUUUGCUGUUGUUUUUUAUUUUCCAGUGUUGAUCCGUUCCAUUGGAAAACCUAGCAGCCCCCGUUGAGCCAUUGGGUGUUCCUGAUUUCUCAUCGUUCUUACGACGAGGUUUUUGUGUUCCUUUUGUCGAAAUCUUCGCAUCUUUGGAGAGCUGUAAACACUCCUAGCGACGCACUGGCUACGACCUUGUGGAUCAGAUCAAAGCGUCCCCGCUACUCGCCGUAAAACACACCUUACUUCAACUGGGGAAUUGCACCACUGAGAUGGAAUAACGCGCACUGCUAAUAAACAUAUACGGACAGAUAGAUAGACGGAAACGGUAGACCUAUUUCUUUGUACUCUAGGGGUCAUGAAAGGUCGAGAAAACGUAAAAGUAAAGAGUCGGUCGACGGACUCGAUUACAAUAGGUAUUUCCUUCGCUUACGCUCUGGAAGUAAAAAGGAAAGGGCCAAGUUCGGCAUCGAACCCACAAUUCCAGUACCGCAAGGUCGCCGUUCUCUCCAAUACACCCACUACGUCACGGAGACGUAUAAACCGUGUUGGGAAUAAAACGUUUUCCUACCUUGCAAAUGUUUUUGCGAAAAUUUGAACAGUGGAUUCGUAUAUUACUAGUGUGGGUCAUGAAGCGUCGAGAAAACAUAAAAGUGGUCAUUCGUCCGAUGGACUGGAUUACAAUACUUUUUCGCUUACGCUCGGAAAGUAAAAAGGUUCAAGUUAUUAGAAUAACAGAUUUGUUAUUUAAUGGCAGGUAAGUAUUUGUUAGGACAAAAAAAUAUUGCCAGAACAUUUCCACCCCUCCAAACAGUUACCUGAAUAAUAAAAAGUUGUAUUUGUUCUUAUAUUUGUGUUAUGGGAACAGUGUUGAAAUUUGAAUAUAAUUAGAAAUAAAUUGAUUUGAUGAAUAAAUCUAAAUACCAGAAUAAAAUUCCUUUAGCAAACCCUCGCCAGAAGCGCAAGAGAGUUUUAUGAAUUUAGCGUUGUUUAUUCCAGAAUGGGGAUUGCUUAUAGUGCAGUUUACGGUUACAAAACUUCAUCCACUGAUUUUCG